UUUCCGUAGGUGAACCUGCGGAGGAUCAUUAAUAAAGUUCCUGAAUUUAAAGGAAUAAAAAUAUCCUACCCUACGUGAAUUUGUUGUUUUGAAUAAUUUUUUUAAAAAAUUAUUGAUUGUCUUUCCCUGUUGAAUUAGAGUGUCUUCGAUAUGAAAUUCACAGGGGAUGUCAGUAAUUUUUUAAAAGACCUUUUUUUAAUUAAACUUUUGUAUUCAUCUGUCUAAAUUAUUUUAUAAUAUAAAACAACUUUGACAAUGGAUCUCUUGGUCUCGCAACGAUGAGAACGCAGCAAAUGCGAUAAGUAGUGUGAAUUGCAGAAUACGUGAAUCAUCGAAUCUUCGAACGCAUAUUGCACUUUUUGGUUUACUAAAAAGUAUGUCUGUUGAGUAUCAGUAAAUAUUCUCAUAAAACAUUGUUUUAUGGUUAUGAGUGUUUACAACGAUACAAGUUGUUUCACUUUAAUUCUUGACUUGUAAAAAUCAUUAAAACUGAUUUUUUUUAAAAUUGGAUAAAAUUUCCCGUAAAAGGAAUAACCUAAACAAUUUUAAUAAUAAUUGUUGAUUUUUUAAAGAUUUAAAGGAAAAAGUAAAAUUAACUUGAUCUCAAUCAGAUAAGAGUACCCGCUGAACUUAAGCAUAUCAAUAGCGGAGGAAAGAAACUAACAGGAUUCCCUUAGUAACGGCGAGUGAAGCGGGAAGAGCUCAAACUUGAAUCUUCAAGGUUUACCUUGACGAAUUGUAGUUUAAGAAGUGUUUUCUGUUGGAGUUUGGUAAAAGUUCUUUGGAAUAGACAUCAUAGAGGUGAGAAUCCCGUAUUUGACCAUUAUUCCAGCUGUGUGAUACACUUCAAAGAGUCGGAUUGUUUGGAAUGCAGUCAAAAUGGGUGGUAAAUUCAUCUAAAGCUAAAUAUGGCGAGAGACCGAUAGCGAACAAGUACGUGAGGAAGAUGAAAGACUUGAAAGAGAGUUAAACAGUACGUGAAAUUGUCAAAAGGAAGCGUUGACACCAGUGUUGUUUCUCGAAAAUCAAUUAAAAUGAUGGGAUUUGUGUUGUAUUGACUUAUCAGCUUUCUGCACUUUUUCUUAUCUUUUUUAAUGCACUUUUCGUUUAACAAGUCACAUCAAUUUCUUUGUUGUAAAGAGUCAUUGGAAGUGGCUUUUCUUCGGAAAAAGUGUUUAUAGCUUUGGCUUCUGCAAUCGGAGAUUGAGGUCUGCAGCGUAGAUCCUUCGGGUUAGAUACAUUUGUGCUAAGCUAUAGUCUUUAUAGACAACUUGUUGACUAUAAUCAAUCCUGUAACUUACUCGCUAUGCUAUUUACCUACGCUUAG
rnacentral:misc_RNA from 1 species